rnacentral:lncRNA from 1 species
AAGACCUAGAUCAGUCAAGGUAAACUUCUACUCCUCACAUACAUGAAAAUUUCAGAUUAAAAUGACAUCAAAGCUUCAUUUAUUCAAGUAACUACCUUUAAUCUCCCUUUUACUUGGGACAUGUCAACCUAAUAGUGUUUUCAGUGGGCACAGUCUUUAAAUGCAUUCUCAUCCUUUUUCUAUAUAUGUUGAAACUAAAUCAGUUGCAGUUCUUACAUGUAUAGUACGUUGGUUAGUUUCAUUCAUCAUUCUUGCUUUUGAAAAUGAAGUAACUUUACUUGAAGGGUGUACUUUAAGCUAAAUUUCCAUACCAUAAAACUUCCACAUCAGGAUCAGCAUUCACAUUCAAAGAUUAUUGGAGGGUCAUUUAUUUUGUGUAU